rnacentral:rRNA from 1 species
AGCGAACGCUGGCGGCGUGCCUAACACAUGCAAGUCGAACGUGAAAAGGGAAACCUGAGUAAAGUGGCGUACGGGUGAGUAACGCGUAGGUAAUCUACCCCAGAAUCUGGAAUAACCUGCCGAAAGGCGGGCUAAUACUGGAUAGAGCGAGGGAACUCGUAAGAGAGUUUUUCGGGAAAGGGAGCCCGCAAGGGCCUUCGUUCUGGGAUGAGCCUGCGUCUCAUUAGCUAGUUGGUAAGGUAACGGCUUACCAAGGCGAUGAUGAGUAGCUGGUCUGAGAGGCUGAUCAGCCACACUGGAACUGCAACACGGUCCAGACUCCUCCGGGAGGCAGCAGUGGGGAAUCUUGCGCCAUGGACGAAAGUCUGACGCAGCCACGCCGCGUGAGUGAAGAAGGCCUUCGGGUUGUAAAGCUCUGUCGGAUGGGACGAACAUCUUCAUAGUGAAUAGCUAUGAGGACUGACGGUACCAUCAAAGGAAGCACCGGCUAACUCCGUG